UUCUAGGCAGCUCCGGAUGUGCAUUGCCAGACUGAGGCCUAGCCUCAGAGAGCUGGGAUCUCUGCCCAUAUCUCUAGUCUCUUCUGGGCUACCUUGAUCACUCCCUGGGGAGCAGCAGGAGGGGGCAGGGCACAAGGCUACCACUUGGCUUGUCUUUCAUUCCCUACACUUUCUUAUAGUUGCAGACAGUCUACUCUGAAUUGGAUCAGGCCAAGUUAGAACUGAAGUCAGCCCAGAAGGACUUACAGAGUGCUGACAAGGAAAUCAUGAGCCUGAAAAAGAAGCUAACGAUGCUGCAGGAAACCUUGAACCUGCCACCAGUGGCCAGUGAGACUGUCGACCGCCUGGUUUUAGAGAGCCCAGCCCCUGUGGAGGUGAAUCUGAAGCUCCGCCGGCCAUCCUUCCGUGAUGAUAUUGAUCUCAAUGCUACCUUUGAUGUGGAUACUCCCCCAGCCCGGCCCUCCAGCUCCCAGCAUGGUUACUACGAAAAACUUUGCCUAGAGAAGUCACA
rnacentral:lncRNA from 1 species